CAAGUAUUAACAAAUUUCAGAAGGCUUAACUUAAAGGUGCACUAUGCGUUCCUGCAUGAUUUCAGUGCAAUUUCAUUUUUAUCUCAAAUUGUAGGCAUCUGUCCUUGAUCUGCUAGCUGCCUGCCCCCUGAA